rnacentral:rRNA from 1 species
AUUGAACGCUGGCGGCAGGCCUAACACAUGCAAGUCGAGCGAGCGGCGGACGGGUGAGUAAUGUAUGGGGAUCUGCCCGAUAGAGGGGGAUAACUACUGGAAACGGUGGCUAAUACCGCAUACCAUCAGAUGUGCCCAGAUGGGCUUUGCUAGUAGGUGGGGUAAUGGCUCACCUGGGCGACGAUCCCUAGCUGGUCUGAGAGGAUGACCGGCCACACUGGAACUGAGACACGGUCCGGAUUCCUACGGGAGGAAGCAGUGGGGAAUAUGGCACAAUGGGGGAAGGCCUGAUGCAGCCAUGCGGCGUGGGUGAAGAAGGCCUUCGGGUGGUAAAGCACUUUCAGCGAGGAGGCGUUACUCGCAGAAGAAGCACCGGCUAACUACGUGCCAGCCGCCGCGGUAAUUC